AACGCACAUUGCGCCCCGUGGUAUUCCGCGGGGCAUGCCUGUUCGAGCGUCAUUUCACCACUCGAGUCUGACUCGGUAUUGGGCGCCGCGCACCGCCGCGCGCCUCAAAGUCCCCGGCUGGGCGGGCCCGUCCCCGAGCGUUGUGAUCUCACAGUCUCGCUAGGGAGUCGCGUCCGCCGGCGGCCGUUAAACACCCCCAUCACAGGUUGACCUCGGAUCAGGUAGGGAUACCCGCUGAACUUAA
rnacentral:misc_RNA from 1 species